rnacentral:rRNA from 1 species
AACGAACGCUGGCGGCAGGCUUAACACAUGCAAGUCGAGCGCCCCGCAAGGGGAGCGGCAGACGGGUGAGUAACGCGUGGGAACGUACCCUUUGCUACGGAAUAGCUCCGGGAAACUGGAAUUAAUACCGUAUGUGCCCUACGGGGGAAAGAUUUAUCGGCAAAGGAUCGGCCCGCGUUGGAUUAGCUAGUUGGUGGGGUAAUGGCCUACCAAGGCGACGAUCCAUAGCUGGUCUGAGAGGAUGAUUAGCCACAUUGGGACUGAGACACGGCCCAAACUCCUACGGGAGGCAGCAGUGGUGAAUAUUGGACAAUGGGCGCAAGCCUGAUCCAGCCAUGCCGCGUGAGUGAUGAAGGCCUUAGGGUUGUAAAGCUCUUUCACCGGAGAAGAUAAUGACGGUAUCCGGAGAAGAAGCCCCGGCUAACUUCGUGCCAGCCGCCGCAGUAACAC